AGGUUUUUGUUCAUGAAUUUUCUGCCUACACAUAUGUCUUUGAGAAUUCUAUCUUCUCUUCUAAUAAAUCAUUUCUAAUUUAAUAUUUAGAUUUUUAUUCAUUUUGAAUCAAUUGUAUGGUGCAUGGUGAUAGACAUGGGCCUUGUUUUAUUCUUUGGCAUAUGGAAAGCCAGUUUUUGCAGCAUCACAUGUGAAUCACAUUUUUUUUUUCUCCAAUGAACAUGUUUGACCCCUCCGUCAAAAUAAGGUGUUUAACAUUUCCGUGUCUCUGCUGCUCCCCUGCUCACUUUCAUCACAUCAGAGAGCUUGCUAAAAACAGGUCAGGUCUUGCCCGCACCUCACAGAAAGUCCUGUGUUUCUAGAAGUUUGUGUUCGGCUCCCCCUGCAGUCUCAGGCACUGUGUCACUCACAGCACAGAAGUACAUGGCUGCGUCGCUCCCCUGGACUGAGGAUUUCUGCAGGUGAAAGGAGGCUUCAUUCUUCUUAAAUUCAGCCUUGAAACCUCUGUUGCCUGUAACCACAGAUGAUCCUCCUAAAUAUUUGAGGAGGAGCUGGAGGCCUUGGCCAGGUCGCUGGAAGUACCAGAAGAGAUAGGAGCACUGAAGGAGAAAUGCGCAAUCACACUGAAAUCCUGACAGAGAGCACGCUGAGAAAACCCGCUCUGGCUCUGAGACACUGCUGCACUCACUGCCUGAGACAGCGCCUGCCUGCAGCAGAGGCUUUGGGAUGCUCACUCAGGCUGAGCACGGAUCUUCUCUCUUUCUUUACUAUCUGUUCAUAAUUUAGUGCUGAUGCCUCCACUCUUUCCUGCACAGCCACUCUCUCAUCUUCCUUUCCUUUCUUUUCUAAUAUGAGCUCCAAUGUCAGGUGCUCUAAUGUUGUUCUUGUAAGUGUCACUAAUCCACACACUGCUCUUUCUCUCUUACAUUUUUCCAGCUUGCAAAAUCUGAAAGCUCAGUAUUAUUCUCACCCACUAUUAUGCCAAUCUAGAAACAUGGCCUUGACGGUGAGGUUAUGUCACUAAUUUCCAAGUACUUUUAACAAAUCAUAUUGAUAUAAUUUGCCUCAAUACUAGGGAGCCCUUUAUCAUUUAGAACUAUAACAAACUUUUUUCCUCAAAUGGUGAACUCUUUUCUUUCAUAUUAAGAUAAUCUUGAUUUCGUUUAGUGGGUAAUUUCUUUAAUAAAAAUAUGCAUGUUCUUCAGAUUUCUACAAAUUUCAAUUAUCAUGUAUCCUGUCCUGAUUAAUAAAGUAUAAGUAUCAUGAGCUACUAUUAUUACUUUCUAUUCAGUAUAUUAUCAGCUUUCCUAAUAAUAUAAAAUGCCCAUGAUUAACAUAUGUUGUACCAUAUAACAAGGGUCAAAAUCCUUUUUCGUAUAUGAGAUAAAGGACAACAGAGAUUGUCAUAUUGCUCAUCAAUGGUGCUUUAAUAGAGGUCCCACACUUAAUCACUGUAUGAACUUGUGAUUUUUAAGACAUGCAUUCUUUCUUACAUAGCUCCAAAACAAGAAAGGAAAACUACUAGAAAACACCUAAAAUUUACUUUUAGCUCACAUAUUACUUUUUAAUUAGUAUGAAACCACUGUAUCAUUUUAUAGCUUUUACUGAAGUAUAAUAUACAUAUAGAAAUAUAAAUAUAUAAGUAUAUGGAUUGGUAAGUGGUCACAAAGUGAGUAUAGCCUUGUAUUCAGCCUGCAGAUCAGGAAAUAGGACACUGCUAGCACUUUAGAGCCCCUCUAAGAGCUCUUUCAGGUGUCCUGUACCUUGGACAACAUUGUUCUGACUUUUAGGGAUAUAGAUUACCUGUGUCUAUGUUUUACAGAAAUGAGGUCUUUAUUCAGCAAGGUAUGUAUCUUCUCAAGCCAUUUACCUUCCUAAUAGUUUACUUGUUUGCUCACUGGUUUUAAGGAGGUCUCCUUUUUAAAAAUCAAAACAGGCCCUUUGUCAAUGGUAUAGGAUGCAAAUAUCUUCACCUUACCAACUAGCUUUGUAAGUCGAUAAACUCGAUUCUUUUUCCAAUUUUAAUGUAUUUCAAUUUUGUAUUUGGUAUCCUGAUUAAGAAGUAAUAAAAAGUAAAGGAAAUUGUACCUUCUCCUAACAGAUUUGUA